GAUGAACGCUGGCGGCGUGCCUAAUACAUGCAAGUCGAGCGAACGGACGAGAAGCUUGCUUCUCUGAUGUUAGCGGCGGACGGGUGAGUAACACGUGGAUAACCUACCUAUAAGACUGGGAUAACUUCGGGAAACCGGAGCUAAUACCGGAUGAUAUUUUGAACCGCAUGGUUCAAAAGUGGAAGACGGUCUUGCUGUCACUUAUAGAUGGAUCCGCGCUGCAUUAGCUGGUUGGUAAGGUAACGGCUUACCAAGGCAACGAUGCAUAGCCGACCUGAGAGGGUGAUCGGCCACACUGGAACUGAGACACGGUCCAGACUCCUACGGGAGGCAGCAGUAGGGAAUCUUCCGCAAUGGGCGAAAGCCUGACGGAGCAACGCCGCGUGAGUGAUGAAGGUCUUCGGAUCGUAAAACUCUGUUAUUAGGGAAGAACAUAUGUGUAAGUAACUGUGCACAUCUUGACGGUACCUAAUCAGAAAGCCACGGCUAACUACGUG
rnacentral:rRNA from 1 species